UACGGGGGGGGCAAGCGUUGUUCGGAAUUACUGGGCGUAAAGGGCUCGUAGGCGGCCAACUAAGUCGGACGUGAAAUCCCUCGGCUUAACCGGGGAACUGCGUCCGAUACUGGAUGGCUCGAGUAUGGGAGAGGGAUGCGGAAUUCCAGGUGUAGCGGUGAAAUGCGCAGAUAUCAGGAGGAACACCGGUGGCGAAGGCGGGUCUCUGGGCCGAAAUUGACGCUGAGGAGCGAAAGCGUGGGGAGCAAACAGG
rnacentral:rRNA from 1 species